CACCCAUUUUACUUGCUGAUGUUACCUGCCAGACCCUGGCUGACACUUGCAUUUAUGGCUCCUGAUGCAGGGAAUGCUGUUCAGAGCUCUUCACGCCUGCCUCUUCCUGUGCAAAUCCUCAGGCCAGUCCAAGGGCCAGUAGGCAGGUAGAGAAAGAGACGACUCCUUCCAGCCACAGCUCUUCCUAAUGGGCUGCACCCUCCAAGCCAGUUCAGCACCACACCCGGCCACACCAGCAACAUCUUUGCCAAUGCCAGUGCCCUGGAUCUCUUCUCGAUUCCCUGAGAUUCCUGGAGCUGCUCACAAGGCUUGAGGCCCUGGGCUCUUGGCAGCUGAAACAAAACCUGAAAGAAACUCAUUGGGCUUUGCAAUCAAUGUGCUGAAACGUCUCCAGCAAGUGGCCACAUCAUCCCAUUUCCGGUCACGCAGAUGCUGGAGCUACUGGGCUCCUAGUCCCGAGUUGAUGGUCUUAGAGAACUUGAGAUCAGAUUCUGGUCCAGAGGGAAGAGCAGAUUUGGGUUCCUGAGAAGAAACCAGGAAGCAAUGGCUAGCCUCAGAUUUUCUGGAGCAAUCCUGCUUUUAGGCAUUCUUAUUUUGUGGUCUACAAGAAUUAUUUUGUCCAUAUUAGAGCAUGUGUUCUAACUGUGGCAGUGUGGGCAUAGGGAGGUGGAGAGGUUGGGGAAGAUGUAGGUGUAGCAACUGACAGAAACUGAGGUUGGGGAGCUGUUCUGGGGAGGCCACUGUCGCUAUCAGGAUACUGUGUUAUUAAGAGGGCCACUGACAGGAACGGAAGUUAAGUCUGGUUUAUCUGUUUAGCCCAUUCUCAGUCUUGUCAGCUAGACAGAAAUCAGGGCUCUGGUGUAUUGGUGGAGGAAGAAGAAUGGGAGGAUCUGGAGCUGGCAAUACGCAUGAGGGCCUAAAGCUUUGGCAGCAUUGCAAUGGGUGUGAUGCACAGCCAGAGGCUUUCAGAUGGCACUGGGAAGCUGGGAUGGAGGUUAAGGGGGAAAGGAAGACCCAACGAAGGAGCAGGACAAGCUUUACCUCUUCCACUGUUUUGUUUAGGCCAACCUUAAUACCUGGGAUUUAACUUCUGAAUAAUGAAUUUAAAAAGAACAAAUAAGAUAUGAAGAUAUUGAUGCCAAUAAUGUGGCACAUUGCUAGGGUCUUGGGUCAGUUCCUAGCAGUUUUGCUAGCAUGCAUGUUAGCAGGUGACAGGAUAACCACUGUGACCCCAGAGGGUUUUGACAAUCUGGCCCUGAUCUUUCUCAAUUCAUCUUUUUACUUUCCCAUCAACCCAUGCUCUUGUCUUUCUGAAUGCUUCCCCAUUCCCAGACACCCUGCUUUUAUACCGCUGUGCUGGGAGUAUUCUCACUGCUUGGUGGACAACCAUCUCUCUUUAUUCUCUGGAAAAUUCUUAUUAUCUAUUCUUUGCUUUCCCUUUCGGGUUCCUUUUAUUUGAUUUUUCUAGCUCUCUAGAUAAAAUUAAUCUUACCUUUCUCUGAACUUUUGCUUUUAUUAUAACAUAUGUAGAAUUAUAAUCAUUUCAUCCUUGGUGUCUCUCUGCUAGAUCAUGUAUGCUUUAAGGGAGGAGACCAAAGUUAAAUCGAGUUGCCUUGCCUAGCAUUAAACUAAAUGAACGUCUGAGAUAUGCGGUACUCUCUCAGUAUUUGGUAGGUGUUUAUAAAAGGGAAAGAGAGUGGGAGUAGAGAAGCUCUGUCUCUGCUAUCAAUGUUGUGUGUUGGUAUAAACAUGUGUUCAUUUAAACACACACACACACACAGAAAUAUAGAAGCAUUAAUAUUUACUAUGUGCCGUGUACUGUGCUAAGAAAUUUUACAUGGAUGUUUUAAAUACAAACAAGGGUUUCUAAUGCAGAUAAUGGUAUUGUCUCUAUUUUAGAAGUGAGAAAAUAGAAACAAGGAAGGGUUGAAGUGAUUUAUCCAAGGUCACAUAGGUCACAUAGUAUCGAUUCAAAUUCAGACAGUCUAACUCCAGAGCCCAAGACUUCAUCUGUUAUUAUUAAUUAUCUCUGUUUAUUGCAUCUCAGUGGAAACUGUCUCUCUUUUUUUAGCUGCUUGACUCCCACUGUAGGAGCUGAAAACUCCAGACAUUUUUAAGUCUCCCUUGCAGCUAGGAUGCAGGUAUGAGACCCAGGCUUGACUAAAUGGAUGCACCUACUAUUGCCUUUGAACUGGGAGCUGGUCACACAUAGAGACAGAGACAGCAGGAAAUCCAGAGGCACAGAGGUGCAGCAGCACCGUUCAAAGUCUUGUGUGUGUGGCUGCCAGUCAGCCUAUGAUAUGUAUGUUCAGUGUGAGGGGAGCGACGGUUGUUUCCGCAUUAGAUGGGUUAGGUGGUGUGAUUUUAGUUGUCCACCUGCUGCCUAGCUGCCCUUGUCUGGCCUCCUUUUCUAAGCCUGGUUUCAACACUGUUGAAAUGCCCUGAGCUGUUCAACAACACAGCAACACAUGCUUUUCUCUGCUGAAAUCAGGUAGAGUUAUUUUCUGUUGCUUGCAGUAAACAACUCUGACUGGUAUAAUAUCCAAACUUAUUAUCUUGAAUAUAAGACUCUCACAUACAUCAUUCUUACCUGGAAGAAAAAAACACAUAAGUAACCAGAAUGUUGUGAAUGUUCAACAGAGCAGAGGGUGAAUGUGACAGAUUGUGUAUCAUCAGGAACAAUUUCUAGUUUAUCCAUCUGACUACUUACUUAUGAUUCAUUUGGCAAUUUGCAUGGAUGGUUAUAGGACUUUUUAGUAUAUUCUUACAAAACUCGUGUCCAAAAAUGGACUUUUACCUUCCAGUGUAAUCUGACUCUGGGCUUUAUAAAUUUCAUAAUAAAUUUUUCCUUUGAAUGAUCAGAAAGAAAAAUGCUAAAUACCUUUCUGGCUCAUUAUAGGCAAAAUGGCUUCCUGAAAUUGUAGUAGUUAAAAAACUAAGAUCACAGAGGAAGUUGGAUGGAACUGCUGAAUUAUUUAAUAUAAGCUGACUCAUUAGAGCCUUAGCUUCUGAGAUGGAAGAAAAUAUGAUGGUUUACAUAAAGGUUACUGAUAAAUUCCAAGAUGAAAUUCACUUUGAAGGGAGUAAAAUGUUGUUGGGGGUAACUAAUCCCUGUGGCAUAAUGCAGUGAAGGAGUUGAGUUUACAGUUUGACAGGGGGUUAUGAUCACAAGACAUUUCUGAAUUGCGGGAGAGGCCACUGCUUCAGAUGGUCAAGUGGCCUACUGAGAUGUCAGAUAUUAGACAGGAAUAAACUUUACAGAGGCCAAAGGUUUGACCUUAGGAAGUCUAGACAUGCUAAUGUAAUUAUCAUCACUCUAAUCAGAUUAUAAAGUAAACACAUACUCUACAAAGCAAAGAAUCUCAUGGGGUUGUUAUUUAGAAGAUGAAGAAAAGCUGCUUCCUGUCUCUCUUAGAAAAGCAAUGGGAAGAAAUGGGGUGGUUGCAGCAUGAGGGAUGUUGGUUUGAUCAGUGGUUCUCGACUGGGGACGAUUUGGCAAUAUGUGGAGACAUUUUCGAUCUAACCAUUACAACUGUGGGAGUGGGGAGACAUCCGGCAUUGCUACUGGCAUUGAGUGGGGAGAUGCCAGGGUUGCUGCUGAAUAUCCUGUCAUACACAGGACACCCCUGUAACUAAAGAAUUAUCUGGCCCCAAAUGUCAAAAGUGCUGAGGCUGGGAAACUCUGGGCUAGACGUAAGAAAUAACUUUUUGAAUCUGAAGUGAUGUAAAUAGAAGAAUAAGGUUAUAGGCCCAGGACUACUAUGGACCACGUGAAGCACCUGCUUCAGGGAACAAAAUUUGAAAGAGUGCCCCACACCUCAGUAAUCAAGAAAAAGAAUAUUUAGAAACUCAAAUUUAAUGCAAAAAUAUCCAUGGUGUACAAGCUAUCAAAAUUUUAAGUAAAGACAGGAUUCAACAGAGAUAGGAUUAUGGUAGGGAAGUUAAAAUGUUAUUUAUCUUGAUUACUGAAGCUGUGGGCACUCCCUACCUUACAUUUUGUGCUCGGGGUAAGUGCCUCAGCUGCUUCACACUAGCCCUGGCCUGUUGGAUCAUCCAUGGUAGAACACCAUUUUAGCUAAAAGGUAAUUUGGCUUGAUUAUUACAAAUGAGGGGUGUUCAAGUCUGGUGAAAGUAAGUGAGAAGAUUCAGCUCUAGAAUUUUAGACUUCAUUAAUAUAUUAAGUAAGGAAGCAACCCCCAUAUUGAGCUGCAUGGAAAUUCCCUAAUAUGGGUUUUUAAUCUCUGUGAUUUAUAGCCUGGCUUUGAUUAUCCAAGAUCAUCUUCAUUAUGAGUGGUAAUGUAUGGCUGGCAUCCCAAAGAAACAUGUGGCAUUAACUGUGAUCUUUAUCAACAUGUUUCUGUUGCAAUUCAGCCUUCCAGAAAAAUAACCACUGUUAUGACUCUUCCAUUUUACUUACCAAGUAAACCAUUACUUCUCAUUCUCUCCUCUCCACGAUCCCACUUCACCUCAAAACCAAUUUAGCAUUCUCUUCUGGGCCCUAUUGAUAUUGACAUUAUUUUAUAUUACUUGCACCCUUCCCCACAAAAAAAAUGCCUUAGAUAGAUUUUUUAAGGGGAGGAUUUAAAAUAUUUUUCCUUCUAAUAGGCUUGGGAAAUUGUCUAUGUCUAAAUUCUAAGUUUAUGUAUGUGGGAUAUAGAGUACUUACAAGAUAAUGCUGACCCCUUCAGAAAUGCUAGAUAAAACUUUCAAAGAUAGUUUACUAUUCUGUGCAGGGAAGCAUAGACAGUUAUAAAAAAUUAUGGUAAUAUUACUAAUUAGGAGAAAUGUAGUCUUGGAUCUAUACCAGAACAAACAGCCUAACCAUUAUAGAUUGCCUUCCAUUAAUUUCCAUCUGUGAGUGUCUAGCCUAUUAGAGUGCCUGCAUUCAGUAAAUGUGGUUGUACAUAAAGCAACUAGAUAUGGGACCAGCCACUUACCACAUCUGAUCACUGAAUCUAACUGACUUAUGUACGAUUGCUUUUGAUCUAUGCUAACUAUCUUUAUCUCAGUGCAAAUCUCAGCUUCCUAUCUGUUAUUUUAAAAACGCUUUCAUCAAAGAAUAGCAGCAGGUUGGGCUGAAUUAUAGGGUUUGAGUUUAGUUUUUCUUUUUUAAUUCUGUUAGAAACAAAGCAACAUCAAACAUGGGCUGCUUCUUUUAAACCAAAUAGUCAUUACUAUCUUGAUGAGCUAGUUUGUGUUUAUUUCUUAAGAAAAAAGAGGAAGGGAAAAAGUGUUAGAUGGGUAGAUAAAGAAUAAUUCUAAUUUAAUUUAUAUUACCAAAGCUAGGCAUAUCCAAAUGUUCUCUCUCUCUCUCUCUCUCUCUCUCUCUUUCUCUCUUUCUCUCUCUCUCCCCUCUCUCUCUCGGUACAGAGGUGAAUGGAAGUCUGCCUAAUGCUUAAGCAAAAAGUACACUUGAUUGUUUCAGAUUUAGGAUUUUUCUGAGCUGCUUGGAUGUGCAAGGCCGUAAUUACCUUGCAGUGGAAAAUUCAAAUCCACCAGGGUAGGCCAGUGUUGAGUAUGAAGUGGAAAGAGUGUUGCCCUGGGGUACAAGUCCUGCCCUGCCUUUGGGAUUAUGCAUUUUGACCAAAGACAGGACAUAGAAUAUAAGUUACAUGUUUCUAGGUUUUCCUAUUCACAAAAUGAUGAUGAAAAUGCUUAGAAGUUCCUUUGAAAUAAACUGUCCACAUGAAUAUUAGAUUUGUGGGCUACCUUUUGUUCUACGGCAGAAAAGAAAUUAUGUCCCCUGGAGAAUUUUAGUUAGAUCUUCAGAAAGAAUGGAUGGAAAAUUGACACUAAAUGGGGUGUGUAUUGUCUUUUCUAUAUUCAUGUUCUCUAAACAAAUGUUAUAACACCUAUUUUAUUUAAUCUUACGAAUAGAUACUGAACAAAUGAAGAAGUCAGUGAAUAAAUCAAGAGAGCACUGCAAAUACUAAGAAUCAUUUCAUAAAACUUUGCUCUUAGUCAUACAUAAAGUCUAGGCCACAUGUAUAUCUUACUGUGGUUUGUGCUAGUCACUGCUGAUAAGAGAGUGUCAUAUAACAAUUU